rnacentral:lncRNA from 1 species
AGUUGGCCUCAACACCCUGCCUUGUUACUAUGAAAUUGAGAAACUUUUUCGAAAUGACGUCGAAGGCGCAUAUAGUCUAGUUCAGUUUUAUUUGAUGUCUCUUCAAGGCGUCGAAAGCUUUUGCUAGGUCAUCAAUAUAGAGAGAAGCUUCAUUACUCUUUAUGAGCAUGUCGUCGACAUGAACUUUCAUGUUGCAACCGAUUUGAUUCUUGAAGACUUUGUUGACCAUCCUUUGAUAUGUUG